CAGCACCGGUGGAAACCCUACCCAAAAUAUCCUCCAAUUUUCGCCGUCAUUCACGGAAAGGAAGGAGAUAGCGGCUGCGUCGGCGCCGAAUUCCUUGCCGGCGUAACCGCGCCGGCAAUUCGCGAUGCUCGACGGCGAUGUCGCGUCCGGCGUCGAUCUAUCCCGCUGUGCUCGUUGAGGAUGUGGUGCCGCCGUCCUUGAAGGCGGACGUCCUGGCCAUGGUGAUGGGGGCUGCGUGGGCCGUCGCCAUUGAUGGCAGGCUGCGCGCGCUACGGUGACGGCGGGCCGGGAGACGGCGUCCGCGCGGAAGACGGAGGCUGAGCGGUUUCUGUGUGCUGGAGUUUGCUCCGGCGGCGUGGAGAGGAGCUGCAGCCGGCGCAUCGCAAAGGGAUGGAGGCCCCCUUCUCCCAGCCAGUCACCGAUUAUAUGUGGUUUGGUCGAUGAGGAUGGCGUGAAAGAUGGCUGCUCCACUCCGGGUAUGUUUGAUGCGAGCAUACAAAACCUUUGCCGUUGCGUCCCAACCUCUACUGUAUAUAUGAAUGGAUAAAAUGUUGCCUGGCGAUCGGCGGUGGAGGGCCAACGGGAGCGGGAACGAAGUUCACAGGCGGUGGUGCCAUGACCCUCUUCGAGCCAGGACGGCCCAUCCUGGGUCCCAUCGGCAUGAGUGCUAAGACCCGAUUUCUCUUCUAACACGACUCAUGGUUCAGAACGCAAGGACGUAUAUUGACUGAUCUGACUAUUUUCAUUUUCAUUGGCGCCAAGUAAACCAUGGUGAUAGGAAAAAGGAAGUGAUUGAAAGAAGGAGAUUGAUCAACGUUUGAUUGAAAGAAGGAAGGAGAUUUAUCACCGUCAUGAAUGAAUUGAUUGCCAUGCAUGAA